ACCAACCCAUCAUCUCUCUCUCUCUCUCUCUCUCACAACUCCACCACCACCGCCCUGUUUUCUAUUGUUCUUAAUUCAAGAAACCAAAUUUGGAAACAAAAGUUGGAUUAUUUUUCUGGUGGUCCAUUUUUCUAAGACGUGGGUUCUAAUUUUGGGUUAGAUUUGAAUACGAUUUUCUGGAUUUAAAGUUUGUUUGUUUGUUUGUUUGUUUGUUUUUUUUUUUUUUUUUUUUUUUUUUUUUUUUUUUUUUUUUUUUUUUUUUUUUUUUUUUUUUUUAUCUGUUCAUCUUAUUCCUCCUUGUUUGUUCAUCUUGUUCUUUUUUCAGAUCACAAGAAAUUGGUGUUAAAUACAUCAUCACUAUAUCUCUCUAUAUAAUUUUGGUUUGAUGAAGAUAUGAAAAUGAUUUCAUCCGGUGAGUUGUUUGAUUAUGUAUGGUUGGGAAGAAAAUAAAGGAGAUAUGUUUGUAUGAUAGGGCCUUGAUGAAGAACACCAUCCAUAAGUUUUUCAAUUUCUGUAACCUCAAGAAGGCAUUCGGCGAUGACAACAAUUGUUGAAUUUUUAGUGUAGGCAGUGGGAGGUGGGGCUACUGUCGUCGCCGAAGGCAAGGCCGACGCCUUGGCUUCACCUUUUCCGGCUUGUUCCAAGUCGAUUUGGGGACUUCACUUUUUGGAUUUAAGUUAGAUCAGAAGCCCUUCACUUUCUUUAAUGUCGUUCUCUACCCUAACACUGACUUUGAUUUUGGAUUUUGGAACCAGAUUGAAAAAAAAAAUUCGGAUUUGAUUUUAUUUGAAAUUUCAAUUUGGGGACUUCAAUUUUUGGGUUUAAGUUUGCCAGGAAGAACUGAAGCGAUGAGAGGAAGCAACCAUCAACAACUCCAUUGAUCUAGGGUAGAGGUCGGUGCAUGCAAAGAAGGAAACGAGGAAGAUGGAGAUUUCAGACAACUACCAUCUUGAAUGCGUAGGAGAUGGAGAUGUAUGUACCAAAUUUUUUUCCAUCAGAAGAGGGUGCUCUGACGAAGUCGUUGUUGGUGAAGCAAUGGUUGUAGCAGAAGAUAUGUUGGUGGCGGUGUAGGUUGUGGUGGUGGUUCCAAUUGGAAGAUGGCGUCCAAAGAUGAGAGANNNNNNNNNNNNNNNGAGUGGAGAAAGAAAAAGUGGGGGGGGGGGGGGGGGUAGGUUGGGUUUAUUUUGUUUUUGUUUCUCUUUUAAUUGUAAGAAUAAGAAAAUAAAUAAAUAAAUAAUUAUAAUAUAAUUAUUUUAGGGCAUAUUUGUCUUUUUAGGUGAAUGUAGAUAAAAAACACAAGAAAAUGCAAACUAUAGGAACUAAAACCAAUAAAAAGAUCCAAUUUUGAACCAAUAAUACACCAACAUUUUGUUUUGGACCAAAAACAUAUAAAUUUGAC
rnacentral:lncRNA from 1 species